rnacentral:rRNA from 1 species
UACGGACUGUGCAAACGUUAUUCGGAAUCACUGGGCUUAAAGAGUCCGUAGGCGGCUUGUUAGGUGAGGUGUGAAAUCCCCCGGCUCAACCGUGGAAUUGCGCUUCAAACCGGCAAGCUUGAGGAGGAUAGAGGUGGGCGGAACUGAUGGUGGAGCGGUGAAAUGCGUUGAUAUCAUCAGGAACACCGGAGGCGAAAGCGGUCCACUGGGUCCUUUCUGACGCUGAGGGACGAAAGCUAGGGGAGCGAACGGG